rnacentral:misc_RNA from 1 species
UUCAUUGGCUCAUGCUUGGUUAU